AAAAUAAAAUAACUAAUUCUCCCGUUAAAAACGAAAGCGAAACAGGAAGUAAUGUCUGUUAAGUCGUUCGUUUUCUGGUUAUUGAAAAGAAGAGGAUAAAAUGGACUGAUUGAUACAGAGAUCCAGGAGGUACUGAAAAAGGGACAAUGCUUCGACUGAAUGUGUCAUCCAUGUACCAGUAUAGACCUGUUAAUGAGGCAUAUCCAAUAAUUCUUAUACUCAUGAAGAGUGUGGCAACUCCCAAGUAGUUAAGGAUGGCACUCAUUUUAAAUCAGAUCCUCACUUCUAGGAUGUUUUCCAUGUUCUUGUGAAAAGUGUUUUACAUGGCACCAUUAAGCUACAAAUACUUUGCCGGUGGAACUGUGACAUCAAUCAACUGCUCAUGCCACUGCUAAUUGGCAGAAUUUCCUUUGGGACAAGCAAACUGUUUCAAAUAUAUUUUACACCUGCAAGUAGUGAUGAGUGUACUGGAAGUUUUUUCGGGAUCUUGUCUGACAUCAUAGGUACAACUGGUCACUGUGCUUUCUUGGUUAUAUAAGCAGG